rnacentral:rRNA from 1 species
UACGUAGGGGGCAAGCGUUGUCCGGAUUUACUGGGCGUAAAGCGCACGUAGGCGGCUUUGUAAGUUAGAGGUGAAAGCCCGGGGCUCAACUCCGGAAUUGCCUUUAAGACUGCAUCGCUAGAAUUGUGGAGAGGUGAGUGGAAUUCCGAGUGUAGAGGUGAAAUUCGUAGAUAUUCGGAAGAACACCAGUGGCGAAGGCGACUCACUGGACACAUAUUGACGCUGAGGUGCGAAAGCGUGGGGAGCAAACAGG